CAUCUUUUUUGAUGGGGGGCGGUAAGGGACCUGGAUAAUGAAUAGGGGGGCGUUGGCCCAAAAAAGGUUGAGAACCACUGACCUACAAUAACUAAUACUCAAUUUCACUGCUCAUGCCUAAGCACCAGUGUUGGCUAAGAAUGACAUAAAAAUAUGGAUAUAGUGGUAAUGAAAUGAUAGGGUGGGCUCUCAGCUAGCUAACAACACAUAGCUCAUUUAAAGUAAAAUACAUUUUAUGAAACUCCGGAGGUUGGAAAGUUAAGUGUAUUAAAGAAGCUAAGUACUGACUUUAACCUGCAGCGUCUCCAUUAGUGUGAUGCACCGGACUGGAGCAGAGUGAUGUGGGCAGACAAGACGUUCAACUAACGUCAAGGUUAGGAAAUGGUACGGUCCAUUUUAGGGGUGUCAGAAAUUAUCUUUCAUUAUGUUCAUGAAUGUAAGGCAUGCGUAUGGGUGAUAUAUUAAUAACAGAUAAGAAAGAACCCCUUGAACAAAAUAAAACUAGUGGUUAACGUUUUGAAAUGUUGCAAUUUUCAAAUGACACAUUGUCAAUGUAGUGAAAUGUCACAAUUUGGUUAAAUUUGGGCAACAAAUCUACUUGAUUGGGGUUAGGAAAAAUCAGGGUUUGGUUAAUUGGAUAACUUAAGAAUCUUACAUAAAAGUCAUUAAAUGUUGACUUUUUGUUUCACACAGGACAUUAGUAGCGGUCUCCUUGGUGAAAGUCCGGUUUCGUGGUUUAAUACUACAGGCCGCUGAUGUCUGGUGCAGCUAAACAAACUACUAUGAGUCAGUAAUUGUUUUUUUCCAUCAUUAUGUGAGCAGUCAUGAUCUCACUACAGGCUGUCAGGUGUGACUGUGAGGCAAGGGCGAAUUGUUUACAUGGCUCACAAGUCAUUUUCUCUUAGGUGGUGGUAGGUAGGUAUGUUUGCUUAUGCUCAGGUCAAAGCCCUUUCUGACAUGACAAUGCCAAUAUUAAUGGGCAAAGCAAGGGAAGCUGGUGAGACGCAUACUAAAACAUUUCAUACUCUUAAAUCAAAAAUAAAUUUAAAUUUUACAGGGAGAAUAUGGGGGCCUGUGCCCCACUAGAGCUUUAUGUCUAGCAACGCCCCUGGUUCUCAGUAAUCCAGAUCUUAGUUUUUCAAAAAUGGAUAAAAUCAAAGGCAACUGAACUUGGUUGAAGACACUAGAGAAUGUUUCGAGACUACUUCGGUUCUGAAAUUAUUUGUAGGUAAACUCACCAUCGAUACUGCUGGUUCGUUCAUUAGAGCCACCUGAGGCCAAGUCUGAAAAACCAUCAUUGGCAUCUUCCCUUGAGGCCAAAAGUGAAUGUUUGUUUCCUGAGAAGUGAUGAAAGGACAGCAUUGUAAGUGGGGGAUAAGUGGUGGUGGAGAUCCCCUCCUCUGUUCAGCGACGGCUUCUAUACCCGGGUGUAAAUAGCUUCCUUGACACCUCUUUAAAACCAUCCAUCUUCUCUGUCUAAAAUGUGCACCAGGUGGUCUUUAAACCGGUGGCCUAUCCUUCAGAUGUAGCUAAACUGCUGAGUCUUGACCUGAGGAGUUAGCCCUUUUGUGUUGAGCAAUGCGUUUGUGUAGUGUUUGUUAAGUUUAUAUACAGGUCUGCACAUUAUUCACUGCAUUGGACAGAACACACUUAAUUGCUUUGUAUGCUUUCACUUUCAGUCUCGCAACCCUCCCCCGUUUCACAAGUCCCAGGGAACAGUAACUACCCACUGUACGAUCCAGCUUAUAUAACCCAGCUUAUAAAACCCUCAUCUUCACAUUCUAGAGAACUCACAGGCAUAGAAUUUGCCUUUGCUUUUCCCUUCAUCGCAAUACCAUUUGUUCAGUCUUCACCAACUGCAGGGCCAAGUUGGAUGACUACCUCUCCACCUUUGAUUUGGCACUGCGAUUCAGCGGCACUGGUUUCCACAGAUCACAUCUUUUUCGCAUUUCUAUUCCUUUUCAUGACAACCACUUUAAACAAAAGACCAUACACUGAUGCAGCACCCUUCACCGGGUGACCAAUGGGCGACCACUACAGUGGCAGAUAAUACACCUCAGAGUGGCCGCUGGAACUGUCCUCCCUCUCAUCCCUCUACAAGCCAUACCCCACAACCAUCGCUGCUAUUGUUUGGGGGGCUCGCAUGGUACACAAAGCAAUCCUUGGUCGCACCAAACCCUGUCAUAGCACUAUUCAGGACGGUGUAGUUCAAACCUCCCACACUUUGUUCAGCCCACUAUUUAACACACUUACUCGGUUUUCAAAUCAAAACAUCCACCAUCCACGCAUACUUUAGCGGAUAAACCCCUUCAUCAGACUCCUUUUGGUGCUCCAACCUCUUCCAUCUCUUACCCCCGCAUCUAUGUGUUGCUCGUUUUCGUAAAGUCCAGCAACAUAUUUUGGGGAUUUUAAACAAGACACUUACAGAGACGUGCCCCCACCCUGAGCCUCGACCGUCGGAUUCCUAGUUGCUCUGGACCCCACGACCCAGAUCAACCCCCUUCAUCCCUUUCCUCUCAACCCAUCCAUCCUUUCAUCCCCGAACCUUCUCUCUAAUCAAAUAAACUACAUAUGAUAACUUAACUGGAAUGGUCUUAGUUAGUGAAUCAGGAUCAAGACAAUCACCACAUUUGUAGAUUGGAGUAAUGCAUGAAUAUUUCCAGAUAACAGGUAACCAGUUAAAGGUAUCUAGAUUCAAUCCCAUCAAGUAAGGUGAUGAACUUAAAGACCAAAACCAGCUUUACAGCGGCCGAACAUCCAUGAUGACUGACGCUCUGCAAACUGGAGACCUCAGCCUCAACCUGACAAAACUCCAGCUCUCCGACAGCGGCAGCUACACCUGCACCGUCAGAGCGUUAGGAGGACAACGGAGAGUGGCAGAGAUACAGCUGCGGGUCAAAGAACGAUUUCCAUCCUGGGCCAAAGUUCUCCUGGUUCUCCUAGUUGUUAGUCUUGUUGCUGCUGGGGGUCUUCUGGUACAUUUCCGGCAGUAUUUCAUGUCACUACUACUGUCAGAAUCAGAAUCAUAAAUACUUGAUUGAUCCCCGAGAGGAAAUUCUUAUGUCACAGUUGCACACAUUGCACAUCAAGGCAUAGAGGAACAUAAAUACUAAUAGAAAGCUGCUAAGUAAAGAAUAUAUAAUAUAAAAAUGUAUGUAAUAUAUAAAGAAAAAUGUGUAUAAAGGAGUGUAAAUAAAUAGUAGUAGUAAUACAAGGAGUAGUGGUAGGGUUCAUGUGGAAUGAAUUACAAAUCCUCAAAAAUCCUUAAUGAUGGAAACACAGCCCUGUACUCAGUCUGAUCACCCUUGCUGAUAUAAUACAUCCAACUACAGCAGAGUCACCAGAAAACUUCUGAAGAUGGCGUGUGAGGUAGUUGAAGUCAGUGGUGUAGAUGGUAAAGAGGAAGGGAUACAGGACAGUCCCCUGUGGACUGUUCCAGAAUCAGUCAAUGAUCAUUAUCCUUACCCUUGUUGCUCUGUAACUCCAGAAACUAAAAGAGUUGAGAGUUAAAACCAAUGCUGCCGAGAGCUGAAGAGAAACUCCCAGGUUUUGUUCUAGAUGUGGCGGAGCAUUAACUGGGUGUAUGUGGGGAUGGCAACAGUGCUGGCUGGCACACAGACAGACAAGGGUGUCAGAAGGCAAGCUGAUCCAGGAGUCCCAGGCAGGCGAGUCCAGAGUCAGGGGUGGUCCUAGAGCGGGCUGAACACAAGUUCAAGUAGGUCCAGUGGUAGACAGGUUAGAACAGGCAAACGGACUGACAAGCAAGCAGAUUCUUCUGGAUACUCAUCAAAGACCAGUCGACUUAACAGUCCGGUGGGGACUGGAUGUUUGGCCGCUGCUUAUAUAGUGCUGUAGCUCAGCGAGAUGUGGAUCAGGUGUAAGUUAAAUGCCCCAACAGGUGUAUGCAACCAGCUCUAGUGGCAGGAGUCAUGCCCCUAACCUAACUGCUAUUAAAGUGAAAGAGAGAGACAGAGGGAGAGAGAGAGCAAAACCAAAACACAACACAGGAACAAUGGGACAUAUUUCAGAGUUCCUGCUGCUGUCUGUACAGCUGAUGUUGUGCUUUAUUGUCCUCUCAGACUACAAGGUGGAGGUGGAUACAAGGGUGGAGUCUGUCCAGCUGCCCUGCAAAACCAUAGUUCACCUGCCUGAAGACGUCACAGUGGAGUGGACAAACAACGACCAAAUGAACAUGAAGGUCCACGUAUAUAAGAACGGCUCUUUCCAGCCUGAAGAACAGCACAGUUAUUACAGAAGCCGAACAGAGAUGAAGAGAAACCUGCAGAGACCUGUUGACCUCAGUCUGACCCCGAAAUACCCCACAGACAGAGACAGUAACACCUACACCUGCACCGUCUACAGCAGGGAGGGACGCAUCCUGAUGAAAAAACAAUUCCUGGUCAAGGUCAAAUGUCAGAGUUGUAGAUACAGGUCAGAGGUCAAAGGAAACAAAACACGGGAACAAUGGGACAUAUUUCAGAGUGUGAGGUGGAGGUGGAGGAGGGGGCGGAGUCUGUCCUGCUGUCCUGUUGUGGAGUGGAGACGCUAUGAAUCCGAACCCAUAAAGACCUGUAUGAAAAUGAUUCCAUGUGUGUGGAAUCCAAAUAAGAAAUGAAUCCUAAAAACUCUGUCACUCUGUCUGCUUCCUCUUCUUCAGCCAAAAGGCUUCUCUCUUCUUCCUCUUGUUGUUCCCACUUCAUCUCGGCUCCUUCAGGAGAGCUGAGCUUUUGGUUUGUUUUCUUUUGGCUUUGCUGUAAUCUGAUGCUGUUUCAACGCC